rnacentral:rRNA from 1 species
AGAGUUUGAUCCAUGGCUCAGGAUGAACGCUGGCGGCGUGCUUAACACAUGCAAGUCGAACGAUGAAGCCCAGCUUGCUGGGUGGAUUAGUGGCGAACGGGUGAGUAACACGUGAGUAACCUGCCCCUGACUCUGGGAUAAGCCCGGGAAACUGGGUCUAAUACCGGAUAUGACUUUUGACCGCAUGGUUGAGGGUGGAAAGAUUUAUCGGUUGGGGAUGGACCCGCGGCCUAUCAGCUUGUUGGUGAGGUAAUGACUCACCAAGGCGACGACGGGUAGCCGGCCUGAGAGGGUGACCGGCCACACUGGGACUGAGACACGGCCCAGACUCCUACGGGAGGCAGCAGUGGGGAAUAUUGCACAAUGGGCGCAAGCCUGAUGCAGCGACGCCGCGUGAGGGAUGACGGCCUUCGGGUUGUAAACCUCUUUCAGUAGGGAAGAAGCGAGAGAGACGGUACCUGCAGAAGAAGCGCCGGCUAACUACGUGCCAGCAGCCGCGGUAAUACGUAGGGCGCAAGCGUUAUCCGGAUUUAUUGGGCGUAAAGAGCUCGUAGGCGGUUUGUCGCGUCUAUCGUGAAAGUCCGAGGCUCAACCUCGGAUCUGCGGUGGGUACGGGCAGACUAGAGUGAUGUAGGGGAGACUGGAAUUCCUGGUGUAGCGGUGAAAUGCGCAGAUAUCAGGAGGAACACCGAUGGCGAAGGCAGGUCUCUGGGCAUUUACUGACGCUGAGGAGCGAAAGCAUGGGGAGCGAACAGGAUUAGAUACCCUGGUAGUCCAUGCCGUAAACGUUGGGCACUAGGUGUGGGGACAUUCCACGUUUUCCGCGCCGUAGCUAACGCAUUAAGUGCCCCGCCUGGGGAGUACGGCCGCAAGGCUAAAACUCAAAGGAAUUGACGGGGGCCCGCACAAGCGGCGGAGCAUGCGGAUUAAUUCGAUGCAACGCGAAGAACCUUACCAAGGCUUGACAUGUUCCAGAUCGCCUCAGAGAUGGGGUUUCCCUUCGGGGCUGGUUCACAGGUGGUGCAUGGUUGUCGUCAGCUCGUGUCGUGAGAUGUUGGGUUAAGUCCCGCAACGAGCGCAACCCUCGUUCCAUGUUGCCAGCGGGUUAUGCCGGGGACUCAUGGGAGACUGCCGGGGUCAACUCGGAGGAAGGUGGGGAUGACGUCAAAUCAUCAUGCCCCUUAUGUCUUGGGCUUCACGCAUGCUACAAUGGCCGGUACAAUGGGUUGCGAUACUGUGAGGUGGAGCUAAUCCCUAAAAGCCGGUCUCAGUUCGGAUUGGGGUCUGCAACUCGACCCCAUGAAGUCGGAGUCGCUAGUAAUCGCAGAUCAGCAACGCUGCGGUGAAUACGUUCCCGGGCCUUGUACACACCGCCCGUCAAGUCACGAAAGUUGGUAACACCCGAGGCCGAUGGCCUAACCACCUUGUGUGGGGGGAGUCGUCGAAGGUGGGACUGGCGAUUGGGACUAAGUCGUAACAAGGUAACCGUA